GACGUAGGGCGCGAGCGUUGUCCGGAUUUAUUGGGCGUAAAGAGCUCGUAGGCGGCUUGUUGCGUCAGCUGUGAAAGCCCGUGGCUCAACUGCGGGUCGGCCACCGAUACUCCAGGGCUCGAGUUUGGUAGAGGCAGAUGGAAUUCCGGGUGUAGCGGUGGAAUGCGUAGAGAUCCGGAGGAACACCGGUGGCGAAGGCGGCUUCCUGGCCUACUACUGACGCUGUGGCGCGAAAAGCUGGGGGGAGCGAACGGGG
rnacentral:rRNA from 1 species